rnacentral:rRNA from 1 species
GACGAACGCUGGCGGCGUGCUUAACACAUGCAAGUCGAACGGAAAGGCCCCUUUGGGGGUACUCGAGUGGCGAACGGGUGAGUAACACGUGAGUAACCUGCCCUUGACUUCGGGAUAACUUCAGGAAACUGGGGCUAAUACCGGAUAGGAAUCCUUGCUGCAUGGUUGGGGUUGGAAAGCUUCGGCGGUUUUGGAUGGACUCGCGGCUUAUCAGCUUGUUGGUGGGGUAGUGGCUUACCAAGGCUUUGACGGGUAGCCGGCCUGAGAGGGCGACCGGCCACAUUGGGACUGAGAUACGGCCCAGACUCCUACGGGAGGCAGCAGUGGGGAAUAUUGCACAAUGGGCGGAAGCCUGAUGCAGCAACGCCGCGGGCGGGAUGACGGCCUUCGGGUUGUAAACCGCUUUCAGCAGGGGCGAAGCUUGUGGUGACGGUACCUGCAGAAGAAGCACCGGCUAACUACGUG